GAUGAACGCUGGCGGCGUGCCUAAUACAUGCAAGUCGAGCGAACAGACGAGGAGCUUGCUCCUCUGACGUUAGCGGCGGACGGGUGAGUAACACGUGGAUAACCUACCUAUAAGACUGGGAUAACUUCGGGAAACCGGAGCUAAUACCGGAUAAUAUAUUGAACCGCAUGGUUCAAUAGUGAAAGACGGUUUUGCUGUCACUUAUAGAUGGAUCCGCGCCGCAUUAGCUAGUUGGUAAGGUAACGGCUUACCAAGGCAACGAUGCGUAGCCGACCUGAGAGGGUGAUCGGCCACGCUGGAACUGAGACACGGUCAAGACUCCUACGGGAGGCAGCAGUAGGGAAUCUUCCGCAAUGGGCGAAAGCCUGACGGAGCAACGCCGCGUGAGUGAUGAAGGUCUUCGGAUCGUAAAACUCUGUUAUUAGGGAAGAACAAAUGUGUAAGUAACUAUGCACGUCUUGACGGUACCUAAUCAGAAAGCCACGGCUAACUACGUG
rnacentral:rRNA from 1 species